UCGAAAUUCAACAUUGCUCAACAAUUGGUCAUCGAUGACCAAAUUGUUGAGUUAAACAUGGCCGCCGUAAUUUUUCCCGUGAGCGAAAGAGAAAGUUUUUGCUCUGUUGUGAUACAAAACUUCGGAUGCAUCAUUUCAUGUUGGAGAGGUGCGACACAUCUGAUCCUCUCGCUGCUGAGCGGUAAAGAGAAACUAAAAUUAACCUGUACCAGUGAUGCCACAUGUACAGAUUAUCUGUAAUAUCAUAGAUUUAUUGAUCAUCUUGAAUAUUAUAGAUAUUUCGAAGGACAAAGACUCUAACAAAUAGUUGUAUUUCUACAAAAGACUUGCACUAGCCGGUCCUGCAUCCCCGGCUGUCAUGUAUCUGCUUUUUUCUCAUCAUGACGUCAAUUUUAUCUCUGGGCAAAAUCUUUACGGGGAUGUGGUACCAACUACCAAUUCAUCCGUAUUCAAAGCAUGAUGGAAGCCGCACAGUUCCACAAGUUCGACUCAAAUCAGCAGACUCCGUCAAUUUCAUCAGCUGAAGUUACAUCCAAGCAAAUCAAAUUUCGCCAAGAAUUCAGUGUCACUCGCCUAUGGAGUCCGGAUAAAUUAGGUGUCCAGAACCAGACUGAUCGUGGAUGAACUGUGCCAGUAUAAAUAAACACCCUUCGAGGAAUGGGAUGAUGGACGGCUGGUUUUAUAUGACGAACAGUGCGCUUUUAGUUUCAAUUCAGACAAAUAAACAUG